rnacentral:rRNA from 1 species
UACGUAGGGUGCAAGCGUUAAUCGGAAUUACUGGGCGUAAAGCGUGCGCAGGCGGUCUUGCAAGAAAGAUGUGAAAUCCCCGGGCUUAACCUGGGAACUGCAUUUGUGACUGCAAGGCUGGAGUGCGGCAGAGGGGGAUGGAAUUCCGCGUGUAGCAGUGAAAUGCGUAGAUAUGCGGAGGAACACCGAUGGCGAAGGCAAUCCCCUGGGCCUGCACUGACGCUCAUGCACGAAAGCGUGGGGAGCAAACAGG